rnacentral:misc_RNA from 1 species
GGAAAAUAUACCACUAAUAUAUAUUAAUCCAAAGCCAAUUCUUAGAUACAUGGGGAGCAAGACCAUAAAAUAAACACACUAAAUAGCGCGCAAACAUAGUUCAUGUCCAGAAAUCAUGCAUCCUGCUACAGAGUCAAAAAGGCAAAGAUUCACAUCUAAACAACGACGAGGCAAGUAGGUUGCUAACCGAGCGUGCCUUGACACUGUUCUUUCUUGUUGAUCCUCUCAUUUUUUAAGAUGUGGGAAACAAGUAUAGAUAUCAGAUUUUGGGUGCUUUGCCUCAGCAUGUUCCCUGCAUUUGACCUCUGACGUGGUGCAGAUAAAGGUUUGCAUACAUACUUUGCACUGAAUAGACAUUGCUUUCUUGUUUGCUUCCAGCUGACUUCCCUUAGCAGCUUUUAGCUUCUCCAUGUUCUUCUCGCGAG